UGCGUAGGCGGUCCGUUAAGUUGGAUGUGAAAACUCUGGGCUUAACCCAGAGCUUGCAUCCAAAACUGGCGGGCUAGAGUUCUGGAGGGGGUAGCGGAAUUCCUGGUGUAGCGGUGAAAUGCGUAGAUAUCAGGAGGAACACCGGUGGCGAAGGCGGCUACCUGGACAGAAACUGACGCUGAGGCACGAAAGCCAGGGGAGCAAACAGGAUUAGAUACCCUGGUAGUCCUAGCCCUAAACGAUGGAUACUUGGUGUGACCGGGAUUGAAUCCGGUCGUGCCGAAGCUAACGCAUUAAGUAUCCCGCCUGGGGAGUACGGUCGCAAGGCUGAA
rnacentral:rRNA from 1 species